UUAAUUGAAGAGUUUGAUCAUGGCUCAGAUUGAACGCUGGCGGCAGGCCUAACACAUGCAAGUCGAGCGGAAACAGGAAGGUAGCUUGCUACUUUCGCUGUCGAGCGGCGGACGGGUGAGUAAUGCCUAGAUAUCUGCCUAGUCGUGGGGGAUAACAGUUGGAAACGACUGCUAAUACCGCAUACGCCCUACGGGGGAAAGGAGGGGACCUUCGGGCCUUUCGC
rnacentral:rRNA from 1 species